CCCCUAGACGUUCUGGGCUGCACGCGCGCUACAAUAAUACGCACAGCGAGUAUCACCGAGCUCGAAAGGGCAAGGUAAACAAUAGAAAAGGUACUGUAAUGGUUAUAGAUCCUUGUAAUUAUUGAUCUUCAACGAGGAAUUCCUAGUAAGUAUGUGUCAUCAUCACGCACUGAUUACGUCCCUACCCUUUGUACACACCGCCCGUCGCUCCUACCGAUUGAGUGAGCCGAUGAAACUGCCGGAUGUGGACUAUUCAUAGUCUGCAGAAGAUAUUUGAAUCGUAGCGCUUAGAGGAAGGAGAAGUCGUAACA
rnacentral:rRNA from 1 species